UUCAGCCAUUGUACUUACUAAUACUUGUAAUCAAACAAAAAAAAAGCCAUCAAAUGUCACAAGUUCACCCCAAUCAUGGGGAUUCUCCAACAUUCUCUAAUCCCCACAACUCUCCAGAUUCUCAUCAUUUUUGGAGGGCGAUUAGGGAUAUGGUGGGUGUUUGUAAGCUGAGGAUGAUUGUGAUUGCCUUUCUACAGCAUUUUGUUCGUAGCGAUGAUUGGGUGAAAUUUUACGGUGUGCUAGAAACGACUUUAACUACUCUCAGGAGCCAUAACAGAGCUGCAUCAAGAAGUUUACGAUUGAAGUUCUCCCAAGAAAUGCCUGGGGAGGUUUAUACUGGAGAAUGGAUUGUUGCGAAAGGCGAUGGGAGGUUAGAAGUAGCAUUAGUUGAUGGUGCUACGGGGGAUACAGUCAUACAUGGACCUGGGACCUCGGGGAAAAUUGAAAUUGUUCCGGUUGAGGGAAAUUUCAAUCCCAGCUGUGAAGAUUUCAACACCAAUAUUGUGGUAGGUGAAGAUGGAAGAAAAUCAUUGCUCGGUAAAAACCCAUACUUGGAAAUGAAAGAAGGCAAUGCACGUGUGUCUGGGAUUAAAUUCAAACACGCAGGGAAAUGGAUGAAAAAACGGAAGUUCAGGCUAGGAGCAAGGUUUGUUCAUCAACCCAAUGCCAUUAGAAUUCGAGAGGCGGUGUCAGAGCCCUUCGUUGUCAAGGAUCAGCGUUUAAAACCGAAGAAGCGUUAUCCCCCAUCACCAACUGAUGAAGUAUGGCGGCUAAAAAACAUUGGCAAAGAUGGUCCUUUCCACGAGUGUUUGGUUGAAAAGAAAAUUCUCACUGUGGAGGAUUUUCUAGUUGAAUUCCAGAAGAAUCGUGAAAGACUACGAGAUGUACUUGGAAAUAUGUCGAAUGCCAAGUGGAAAGCGACUUUAGAUCAUGCCCUGACAUGCAAGCUGAAUGCAAGGAAUAAUUUUACUUGUAUUGACAAAAACCUCUCCGAGCAUCAACAGGUUUUUGCAAAUUGGGAAAAUGUUUCAAAAACCUAUGAUGGUGCUUCGUGCUCUUCCAUUAACCCUUGCCUCUUAUCCCCAUCUAAUGAUUUGGCUGCACUUUCCGUUGAUUUUGGCAACUCCGGGCUGCAACAUGACAAGAACAAUGAUGUCUUGAGCAUUCUGACUUCUCAGCCCGAUGACCUUUCCCAAGAUAUGCAAUUGAGGGUUUUUGGUUCUGGUAAUCAGCAGAGCCAUGGGAGUGAAUUGUCACCAACUAGUGCUGCAGAUAUUGUGUCUGAUGCAAUUGCUAGUUUAAAAGCUCUGAAUCCAUCUAAUACUGAUGAUUUCUCUCGGCUUUUGAGUAAAAUUUUUGAAUUGUUAAGUUCUGAUGAUAUCCUUGAGAACUCUGAGCAGAAUUCACGUGUUGAACAUGAACAGCAAUUUGCUUCCCCCAAUAACUCGGAAGCUCCACAUUCUGCUGAAUUCUGGUCUGAUAUGGUUAAUGAAUACAUCAGAUGCAAUGGUAUUCAUUCCCUCACUCUUACUGAUGCAGGUCCAAGUUCUUCGACUUGCCAUCAGAUGCAGCAUAACGAAGAUGUGAAUUCUGACCCGGGAAACCUCAUUAAUGGUACGAAGGCUCCCAAAAAUACUUUUUCUCGGAGUUAUCAGCAUGAGGAACUUGAUAUUGAUGAUGAGCUAAGUGCAGGAGUGACAAACAAGUCUCUUCGAGUUGCUGCUAUUCCCAAAUGCAGCAUUGGUUGGGCAAAAAUGUCUAGCUACGUAAGAUGGUUCUUACUGAUGAAGGCUAUCACAUUGCAUGUUGCGAAGAAGCGAAGAUUGUGCUAAUUAAUAAGCUUCCAAAAAAGGUCCGCUAGCUGUACUUUUCGUGCUCUGGAUAGCUAGCUUUUUGUGUGCUAGCUUAAUUGGAUUAAUGAACACACACAAAUAGACAAUGGGUGAUUCCUUUAAUUUGCACCAGAUAAUCAGUCAGGUUUUGGUAUGCUUUCUUUUCCCCCCUUUAAACUUCAAAUUUCCCAUUGAUAGCUUUUGUUGGGCGGAGGCCUGAAAAGUCAGUCCAGCACUUUGCUUUUCGAAAAUGUGGCACUACCGCUAUGCAGGUAUAAGGAGAUAAAGAAGCGAUUGAUCCUUAACAGUUUUUAUAAGCACAUUUACAGUGAGAUACUGAGAUCUUCAAAAUUUGAGUUAUUUGCUGUCAUUCAAGUGCUUCCAUUUGCAAUGAUUUUUUUUGGAGUUCUUUUUGUAGGGUCAAUGUUGAGAUGAAAGAAAUAGAAGAUCAUGAUGCUCUGAUCUUCUGGUUCUUUUUUGAAUAGAGCUAACUCUAUUAGCUAGUCAAUAUCGCCUCCACCAAGGCUCGAACUCAUGACCUCCCAUAUGGGAGAGUUACUACUCUGCCAUUUGUCAUCUGAACACAAGGAUGAUGAUGAAAGUUCUUUUAACGAGGUUUUCUCCUCGCCCUGUGAAGUUUGUAGCAGGCCUGCAUGUGUGGUAACAAUGUGGCCUUUGGACUAAGGGAUGCCAAUGGGAAACAUCCUAAUUAAACAUCACUCACCAUACUUCAUUAACAU